rnacentral:rRNA from 1 species
AACUGCGACCAGAAACAUUCUAAUAACACGGGUGGCGGACGGGUGAGUAAUGUCUGGGAAACUGCCUGAUGGAGGGGGAUAACUACUGGAAACGGUAGCUAAUACCGCAUACCAUCAGAUGUGCCCAGAUGGGAUUAGCUUGUUGGUGGGGUAACGGCUCACCAAGGCGACGAUCCCUAGCUGGUCUGAGAGGAUGACCAGCAACACUGGAACUGAGACACGGUCCAGACUCCUACGGGAGGCAGCAGUGGGUAAUAUUGCACAAUGGGCGCAAGCCUGAUGCAGCCAUGCCGCGUGUAUGAAGAAGGCCGUCGGGUUGUAAAGUACUUUCAGCGGGGAGGCGUUACCCGCAGAAGAAGCACCGGCUAACUCCGUGCCAGCCGCCGCGGUAAUUC